rnacentral:misc_RNA from 1 species
GAUGAAGAACGUAGUGAAAUGCGAUAAGUAGUGUGAAUUGCAGAAUUCAGUGAAUCAUCGAAUCUUUGAACGCACAUUGCGCCCCUUGGUAUCCCGAGGGGCAUGCCUGUUCGAGCGUCAUUUCACCACUCAAGCCUGGCUUGGUGUUGGGCGACGUCCCCUUUAGGGACGCGCCUUAAAACGCUCGGCGGCGUGGCACCGGCUUUAAGCGUAGCAGAAUCUUUCGCUUUGGAAGUCGGGGCCCCGCCUGCCGGAAUACCUACUCGUAAGGUUGACCUCGGAUCAGGCAGGGAUACCCGCUGAACUUAAGCAUAUCAAUAAGCGGAGGA